AAAAAAAAAAAAAAAAAACCGUGUUCUGCUCUACCCAGCCAUCCAUGAAUAAGACGUGAACACUGCAGCAUCACCUUUUGAUGCUUUUGUUUUCUAUAGCAUACUGCUCUUAUCCUUUAUGGGAUGAUCUUUGGUCCCUUGCUGUUAGUGUCUUACCAUAUGAUAUAUGUUGGAUUUGUAAUUACUUGUUUCUACUAGGACCUGCAUUAUCUCAAGAAUCAAAGAUCCAGAAAGCACAUGUUAGGAACCUCAGGUAGUAUAUCAUCCGGCAUGCCAACUUUCUCUUCAGUCAGCUCCACUUUAACUGUUCUUGUUUGUCCUUUACCUAAUCUUCCUCAAUAACAAUAACUGCUUUCUUUUUCUAUGCACUAGACUCUAUUUUUCCAUCACAGUUUAAAGACUUCUUAAAUUAUUUUUUUCUUGAGUUUCUUGUCCUCUGCAGCUUGUCAUGACUCAUGACCAUCUUGAGAGGUUGAAUCCCUGAUUAAUAAUUUUGAUGCCUUUUCUGUUCUUUGGAAAACUACAUCACAUAUAUUGUAUAUAGACUGCUGACAGUUCUAACUUAACUGUAAUUACUUAUUCAUUUGAGAAUUGAUCUAAAUGGGAACAAAGGUAAUAUUUUUUCUAGGAAAUAUACUCAACAUUACUACAUCUCAAAGAUAAAUGGCAAGGAAAGAAGGAAUUUUUUUUUUCCACAAUGUGCACACGUUACUUUCAAUUUCAAUUACAACCUUUUAUCAUUCUCUGCUUACGCUUCUUUGGUUUCAUAUUGUGACAUGUAUUUUUUGAAUGCAG
rnacentral:misc_RNA from 1 species